UAAAAGCCGCCAAGAAAGACUCCUGUGUU
rnacentral:piRNA from 1 species